ACCAAGUAGUACAACACUAAGAGCCUGGACUUAAAAACUGAACAAGCUGAAGUUUAAACACUACCUGUACUACUUACAAGCUAAAACAUAUGAUAAGUUCCUCAGUGGCUUGCUCUGUACCUCCCACCUCGGCAGCAGAUUGAAAAAGCAAUCCAUGUUGACAUGAAGAGCUAAUGGCUUAGCACAGACAGGCUAUACCUGUAGCUGAAACGAGUCGAAGAGCUUGCAGUGACUGUGCACCAGCAUUUAUCACACCGAAGACAACCCAUCUGAACGCUGCCACAGACAAAUGCUGAGAGAAGGAUAAUGAUCAGAGUAGGAAGUUCACUUCUCAUCAGGAAUCAACAUUGCCAAAAUGAAAACAAUCGGAAUACACUAAUAUUUAUUUGUUUCUUCGAUCAUUUCAGUAAAUAGAAAAUAUUCCAGAUUACAC